AUGAAAUCCUUGAGUGUUUCACUAGUGGUCCUGUGGCUUCAAUUAAGCUGGGUGAGCAGCCAGCAGAAGGUGGAGCAGAUCCCAGAAUCCCUCAAUGUCCCAGAGAGAGCCAUGGCUUCUCUCAACUGCAGUUUCAGUGAUCGUAAUUCUCUGUACUUCUGGUGGUACAGACAGCAUUCUGGGAAAGGCCUCGAGGCGCUGAUGUCCAUCUUCUCCAACGGUGACAAGGAAGAAGGCAGAUUCACAGCUCACCUCAAUAAAGCCAGCCUGCAUGUUUCCCUGCACAUCAGAGACUCCCAGCCCAGUGACUCUGCUGUCUACCUCUGUGCAGUGAGCACACGGUGCUCCCCAGGCACCUGCAGCCUGCACACAAACAUACUGGGCCACAAAAUGCCUUAUAGAGAGCUCAGACCCCACAGUGGAGAAAUUCUGUUUCUAUUCUGUAUGCAAUGGGAAUUAAUAGCAAGAGCAGCAAGGGCUUGGGAUUGA